rnacentral:ncRNA from 1 species
AGCACUUUUACCUGUGCUGACAGAUGUAAGUCCGACGUGCGACACCGCACUGCCAAAGAUGGCUUUGGGAUUAC